UCCUGACACUCCUGCUUAAUGGCCCGUGGUACCCAGAGGGGCCGGGCCGAGCCAGCGUGAAAGCAUGAGGUCCGGGAAGCUGGGCUUGGCUGCCUUCCAGAGCCCUUUGGCCUCCUCCAAGGCACCACGUGAGGGUGCGCGGGGCCCCUCGCCUGCCUUCUCCUGCCGCCGCCACCAAACUGCUCUCUGGAAAAGCAGUGAGAUCAUUUACACCUCAGCGAGAACGGAUCCGGCUGCUCAAGUUAGCUGCUGCUGACGAGGAGAAACAGCAAAACACAACCACUUCAUGACAAAUUGGCUGGAAAUGCAAUUCUGCCAGGGCUGUUAUCCGUUGACUCUCAAAGACUUUCUCGCUGGCUUGCCAAAGUCACAGAAGGGGUGGAUGGAUCUCUAUGGGCUGGGAAUAUGGGUUGCCCUGCAUAGAGAGGGAGGAGUCUGGACCAGAAGCUAAGUGAGCCAGAUAUAGAGCAGGAGCUCUUUCCCAGCAUGGGUAUCAAUUGGAAACAGGUUUUAGAACUCCACCCCCAGGAUGCCUUGGGAUGGCUUUAUUCCUACUCUCGCUCUACCUCUUGAAGCAUGGAUGGAGAUGAGCCCAGCUCCCCUGGCCACUUCCAGGGACCAGCACUGAAGCUUCAGGGCUUUGAGCUGACCAAACAAUCCUCUUCUUGGUCCCUGAAUACCUCCCUUUGGCCCCAUGAUGGGACGCUAUAUUAGAGAAUUGCCCAUUGAGGAGAACCAACCUUGGCUCUUGCUCUCUUGUUCCUCUCUCGAACAUGGUGUGGAAUACUUUCUCUGGGAAUUCCUGGCCAGGCAGAGGAGAGGACCUCCUCUCUCCCCGGGAAGCUAUGAUGACUGCUUCCAUGUGGCUACACAUCCUUGGCUUCAGAUAACUGAGUUUAUGCCACUAUUUCAACAUCACGGCUGUCUUUUCUGCCUUGUGUUCCUUCUUCUGAGCACAGGUGACCGAACAGUGAAGAUUCUGAGAUGGAUGUUUCCAUCAGCCUUAUGCGUUCGAAUGUUCAGGAGCUCCUGGGUCUCUCGGUGCUGUCUGCACCACAGAGGGGACUCCCUGCAGUUGUUGUACUAUUUUUGGAAUAAGAGAUGAGCAUCUUCAGGGGAUCAUCUGAUUCCUAUCCUGGCCUUUCAGAGACCUGGACUUUGAGGUGGAUAGUCCAGAGCUUUCUUCAAGUCGUCCCCCCUCCUCCCACCAGGGCUCUGAAGGGUAAGAGUGUAAAGAGCCAGAGCGCAGGGAGAAAAGUAAGAAAAGAAGCCUUUCUCUUUAGAGGCUGGGAUCCCCCAAGCCUCAACCUGGUCCAUGAGUACAAAGCCUACACUUGGGAUCCUUUAGAGGGAGAGGACAUUCCCGGAUCACCCAGUAUGGACCUACAUGCUGUUAUAUGCACAUAGAUGUAUGUGUAUACACGCAUACAUACACAUACAUAUAUACACAUACAUGCACACACAGAGAUAUAUAUUUACACACACACACACAUAUUCUGAUUUGCUAGCACCAGGAAAUGGGGGCAUCACACGGAUCAUUUGCACAUACCAACUCUCAGGCUCAAAUAAGAUUAGUUCAUUCAUUCAUUCAUUUAUUUGACAACCAUUUAUUAAGUUCCUGUUACAAACCUCUGCUUGAAAUAAAUGUGUGUGUGUGUGUGUACUCUCUC